ensembl:lncRNA
CUGCAUUCAAACUGCUUUAUCUCCAGCAUGGACCUGGCAUACAGUUGGCAGUCCAUAUAGGUUAAACUCAUCUCUGAAUCAAUGGAUGGAUAUAGAUGUAGCCCAGUGUAUGAUUUAAUUUGGAAACAAAAAAACAAAACCAAACCCACAACGCUCUUCAGAGUUCCAAUGAUGAAAGGUUUGAAAGCCACUGAGUUCAGCCCUCCCAUGUUGCAGAUGGAAAGAGUGAGGUCCAGAGAAGAGGCGGCACUGGCUCCAGGUCACACAGCGAGCCGGUGGGUGAGCAGGAACUCAAACCUAGGUCUGACCCCCAGGGAAGAGUUUUGCACCAUGGCUUUCUUGAGGGUCUCUGGGGGUCUCCACCCUGGGGCUGCUGGGAGGCAAAGAGGGAGGGUUGGGUAUUAGGCAGGUGUCUUCACACCCUGCAGCCUUCAGCCAGAAUCCACUGCUUUGCCGUCAUAUGUUGGGUUCCAAGGUGUUUGACCAAAUGGUUUUGUGGGUGGGGAGAGCCUGCUGGGAGGUGAUGGGGGAAACACUGGGGAGGGCUUCAGUGGGGCCAAGCAUUUCCUGGAGUGGGAUCCUCCCCCCUCCAUCCCGGUACUACCCUCUUCCCUCUAGCUGUGGUGAGGAGAUGGAUGGGGGGAGCCAGGGC